CCGCCUGGGGAGUACGGCCGCAAGGUUAAAACUCAAAUGAAUUGACGGGGGCCCGCACAAGCGGUGGAGCAUGUGGUUUAAUUCGAUGCAACGCGAAGAACCUUACCUGGUCUUGACAUCCACAGAACUUUCCAGAGAUGGACUGGUGCCUUCGGGAACUGUGAGACAGGUGCUGCAUGGCUGUCGUCAGCUCGUGUUGUGAAAUGUUGGGUUAAGUCCCGCAACGAGCGCAACCCUUAUCCUUUGUUGCCAGCGAUUAGGUCGGGAACUCAAAGGAGACUGCCAGU
rnacentral:rRNA from 2 species